GCAUGAGUUGAGUCAUACUUAUAAGUAAUGAUUUUUUAAAUUUUCCUUUUCUUCUAUUUUCCUUGGUAGUAGGUGCUUAACGAUAUUUAUUUACAUUAAAAAAAAUGUAGCUACGAUUCUUGUUUCUCAUUAACCAAGAGAACCAACACAACUUUUCAAAAUUAAGCUGGCCGUUCAAAUACAAGGAAGCUAAACAACAUACUUCCGAAUGACCAAUAGGUCAACUAAGAAAUUAAGAAGAAAACUUUAACAUUUCUUGAAACAAAUGAAAAUGGCAACCCAACAUACAGAAUAUGUGGGAUCCAGCAAAAGCUGUACUAAAAGGGAAGUUUUAUAGCAAUAACUGUCUACAUCCAAAAACAGAAAAACUUAAAUAACCUAAUGAUGAACCUCAAGGAACUAGAAAAACAAGAAAAACCCAAAUAACUAGAAAGAAAUGAUAAAUAUCAAAACAGAAAUAACUGGAAAUGAGAGGAAAAACUACAAAAGAUCAACAAAACAAAAAGUUGAAUUUUUUGAAAAGGUAAAUAGAAAUGACAAAUCUUUAGCUACACUAAGAAAAAAACACAAACAAAAUCAGAGGUGAAAAAGGAAUCAUUACAACUGAUACCACGGAAAUACAAAGAAUCAUUAGUAACUGCUAUGAAAAACUACAUGCCAACAAAUUGGAAAACAUGUAAGAAAUGGAUAACGAUUGGAUACAUAAAACCUGCCAAAACUGAACCAUGAAGAAAUUAAAAAACUCGAAGUGACCAAUGGUAACUAAAGAAAUCAAAGCAGUAAAAAUAAUAAUAAUAAUAUCCUAUCACAGAAAAGCCCAGGACCUGACUGAUUGACUGCUGAAUUCUACUAAACAUUUAAAGAACUAAUACCAAUUUUACUCAAACUAUUUGAAAAAAUUGAAAAGAAGGGAAUAUUUCCAAACAAAUUAUUUGAAGCCAGCAUUACCCCAAUACCAAAACCAAAUAAGGACGCAAAAACAAAAGAAAAAUAGCUAUAGGCCAAUAUCCGUGAUAAACACAGAUGUAAAAAUCCUCAACAAAAUACUUGCAAACUGAAUUCAGCAACACAAUAAACAGAUCAUUCACCAUGAUCAAGUGGAACUAAUCCCAGAGAUGCAAAGAUGUUUCCACAUAUGCAAAUCAAUAAAUAUGACAUAUCACAUCAACAGAAUCAAGGACAAAAAUGUGAUCAUUUUAAUCAGUGAUGAAACAGUGUGCAAUUAAAUUCAACAUCCCUUUGUAAUAAGAACUCUUAACAAAUUGGGUACAGAAGGAAUAUAUCUCAACAUGAUAAAGGCCAUAUAUGACAAACUCACAGCUGUUAUUCUGAAUGGUAAAAUAAUGAAAACUUUUCCACUAAAAUCUUGAACAAAACAAGUAUUCACACUUUCGGCUGGGUGCGGUAGCUCAUGCCUGUAAUCCCAGCACUUUGGGAAGCCAAGGCAGGCAGAUUACCUGAGGUUGGGAGUACAAGACCACCCUGACCAACAUGGAGAAACCCAUCUCUACUAAAAGUACAAAAUUAGCCCAGUGUGGUGGCACAUGCCUGUAAUCACAGCUACUCCGGAGGCUGAGGCAGGAGAACUGCUUGAACCUGGGAAGUGGAGGUUACGGUGAGCCAAGGUGGCACCAUUGCACUCCAGCCUGAGCAACAACAGUGAAACUUCAUCUUGGAAAAAAAAAAAAAAACCAGUAUGCACACUUUCACCACUUCUAUUCAACAUACCACUGGAAGCUCUUUCCAUAGCAAUCACAAAAGAGAAAUAAAUGGAGAUCAAAAUUGGAAAGGAUGAGAAUAAAUGAAACUUGUUUGUAGACAACAUGAUCUUAUGUUUAUGAAAACCUAAAGACUGAAGCAAAAAACUCUUAGAACUGAUAAAAGAAUUCAGUAAAGUUGCAGGACGCAAAAUCAACAUACAAGAAAAAUCAGUAGGAUUUUUAUAUGCUAACAGUGAUCAGCCUAAGAAAGAAAUCAAGAAAGCAAUAUUGUUUAUAAUAGCUACAAAAAACACCCAGGAAUAAAUUUAACAAAAGAAGUGAAAGAUCUCUACAAGGAGGAUUAUAAAACACUAACAAAAUAAAUUGACGAGAACCUCCCCCAAAUGGAAAGAUAUCUCAUGCUUAUGAAUUGAAAGAAUUAAUAUUGUUAAAAUGUCUAUAUUAGGUAAAGAAGCUUCAAUGCAAUACCCAUCAAUACCAGUGUCAUUCUUGACAGAAAUGGAAAAAAAAUCCUAAAAUUCAUAUAUAAGCAGGAAAGACCCCAAAUAGCUAAAAACACCCAAAGCAAAAAGAGCAAAGCUGGAGGCAUCACACUACCCGAUUUGAAAUUAUACUACAAAGCUAUAGUAACCAAAACAACAUGAUACUAGCAUAAGAACAGACACACAGAGAAAUGGAAUGGAGCCCAGAACCCAGAAAUAAAUCCAUACACUUACAGCCACCUCAUUUUUGACAAGGCACCAAGAACUAGAAAGUCUCUCUCUCUCUCUUUUUUUUUUUUUUUUUUUUUUUUUUGAGACAGAGUUUCACUCUUGUCACCCAGGCUGGAGUGCAAUGACACGAUCUCUGCUAACUGCAACCUCUGCCUCCCAGGUUCAAGUGAUUCUCCUGCCUCAGCCUCCUGAGUAGCUGGGAUUACUGUCACCAUGCCUAACAAAUUUUUGUAUUUUUAGUAGAGACGAGAUUUCACCAUGUUGUCCAGGAUGGUCUCGAACUCCUGACCUCAGGUGAUCUGCCCGCCUUGGCUUUCCAAAGUGCUGAGAUUACAGGCAUGAGCCACCACGCCCAGCCAGGAAGUCUCUUUAAUAAAUACUGCUUGGAAAACUGUGUAUCCCUAUGCAGAAGAAUAAAAUUAUAUCUCCAUCUUUCAACAUAUAUAAAAAUCAACUCAAAAUGGAUUAGAGACUUAAAUAUAAGACUGGAAACUAUAAAACUAGUCAAUAAAAACAUUGAAGAAAUGCUACAGAACAUUGAUCUGGCCAAAGGUUUUUUUGGUAAGACUUCAAAAGCACAGGCACCCAAAGCAAAAAUUUAAAAAUGGUAUUACCUCAAGCUAAAAAGCUUCUGCUCACAAAGGAAACAAUCAACAAAGUGAAGAGAGAAGCCACAGAAUGGGAAAAAACAUUUGCAAAGUAUUCAUCUAAUGAGGUAUUAAUACCCAGAGAAUAAAUAAGGAAUUCAAACAACCCAAUAGCAAAAUAUUAAUAAUAAUAUGAUCAAAAAGUGGGGAAAAGAUCAGAAUUGACUUUUCUCAAAAGAAGACAUACAAAUGGCCAACAAAUACAGAAAAAAAAGACUCAACAUCACUAAUCAUCAGGGAAAUGCAAAUAAAAACCACAGUGGGAUAUCAUUGUACUUCAGUUAGAAUGGCAUUAUAAAAAGAUUAAAAAAUAACAAAUGGUGACAAGGAUGAGGAGGAAAGGGAACACUCUUACAACUACUGGUGGCAAUUUAAAGUAGUACAGCCAUUAUGGAAAACAGUAUGGAAGUUCCUCAAAAAACUAAAAAUUGGGCUACCUUAUGACCCAGCAAUCACACCACAUAUGUCCAAAAGAGAGGAAAUUGGUAUAUUGAAGAGAUAUCUGCACUCACAUACAUAUCACAGCGCUAUUCACAAUAGUGGAUACAUAGAAUCAACUAAGUGUCCACUAACAAAUGAAUAGAUAAAUGUGGUAUAUAUAUAUAUAUAUACACAGCUGAAUUUAUAUAUAUAUAUAUAUACACACACAGAACUGUAUGUAUAUAUAGAACUGUAUAUAUGUAAUUUGUAGCAACAUGAACACAACUGGAGGUCAUAAUAGUAAGUAAAAUCAACCAGUUACAGAAAGACAAACACUGAAUAUUCUUUCUCAUAUGUGGAAGCUAAAAAGUGGAUUUUUUUUUUUUUUUGAGACGAAGUUUUGCUUUUGUCAUCCAGGCUGGAGUGCAAUGGCACAAUCUCGGCUCACUGCAACCUCCGCCUCCCAGGUUCAAGUGAUUCUCCUGCCUCAGCCUCCCAAGUAGCUGGGAUUACAGGCACGCACCACCAUGCCAGGCUCAUUUUUGUAUUUUUAGUAGAGAUGAGGUUUCACCAUGUUGGCCAGGCUGGCCUCGAACUCCUAACCUCAGGUGAUCCACUUGCCUCCACCUCCCAAAGUGCUGGGAUUACAGGCAUGAGCCCCAAUGCCUGGCCUAAAAAGCAGAUCUUAUGAAGGUAGAGAAUAGAAUAGGGGUGAUAUGGUUUGAAUUUGUGUCCCCGCCCAAAUCUCAUGUCGAAUUGCAAUCCCCAAUAUUGGAGGAGGGGCCUGGUGGGAGGUGAUUGGAUCAUGGGGCUGGAUUUCCCCCUUGCUGUUCUUGUGAUACUGAGUUCUCAGGAUAUCUGGUUGUUUUCAAAGUGUGUAGCACUUCCCUCUUUACUCUCUCUUCCUCCUGCUCCAGCCAUGUAGGAUGUGCCUGCUUCCCCUCUGCCAUGAUUUUAAGUUUCCUGAGGCUCCCCCAGUCAUCUUUCCUGUACAGCCUAUGGAACCAUGAGCCAGUUAAACCUCUUUUCUUUAUAAAAUGCCAAGUCUCAGGUAUUUCUUUAUAGCAGUAUGAGAACAGACUAAUACAGAAGGUAACAAGAGGCUGGGAAGAGGGGACAAAGAGGGGUUUGUUAAGGGGCACAAAAAUACAGUUAGAUACGAGGAAUAAGUUCUAGUAAUCAAUAGUAAAAUAUGGAUAUCGUAGUUAUCAGUAAUUUAUCAUGUAUCUUAAAAUAGCUAGAAGAUUCGUAAUGUUCCCAACACAAAUGAAGGAUAAAUGAGGUGAAGGAUAUCCCAAUUACCCUGAUUGGAUUAUUACACAUUAUAUACAUGUGUCAAAAUAUCAUAUGUGUCUCCAAAAUGUGUACAGAUUUUAUAUGUAUUAUAUAUAAUACAUAUAUAUGUAUUUAUACAUACACAUGCAUAUAUAUGUACAUAUAUAUAUGCAUGUGUAAAUAUUCUACUCUUCCUGAAAAGAAAGAGCUGGAGGAAUCCUGUUUCACCCAAGAUCAUAGUGAUGACAGCUUCCUAAGAGCAGAGGACAUUACUGACAUCAGCUUGGUUUGUGUUUGAGAAUAUUCUAUGUAUUGCUUAUAACACUUCAAAUCCAAUAGAAACAACUCUUCUCAGAGGUGUAAAAAUUUAGUUAACCAUGGUGAACUACAUCUGACUCCAUUAUUAUAAUUCAUGCCUGUCUUCAGCUUUAAUGCUAUCAAUGAGAACAAGAAUAUUUGGCUUAUCUUCAACAUCUUCAUACCAUCAGAUAACUCCAAAGUUAACACAGGUAACUCUACUUCUCCUCUUAAACCUAACUGAAUCAUCCAUUGGACGUUUGUACAUUUAACCAAUAUCAACUGUAUAUUCCAUAAGACCAACACUCUACCAAACUGAAAGACCCAAAAGUAAACACAUUAAUUCCUAUGUACCCCUUCUCUAUCUCACACCUAAUAUUCUGUUAAUAUACUUUUUCUUAUUGUUCAUAAAAUAUCUGUUAAAGAAGUGUUAAUUGUCUGUCUAAUAAUCAUUUAUCCUUCUUGUUUAGUAAGCCAAUUCCAAAUAGUCCAUUUAGAGUGGCAAAAUAUUCAGAAAAAAUUAAAUAUUUCCCAGCCAACAUUGCUGCUAGGUGUGACCAUGUUGCUAAGUUCUGGCAAACAGGUUAGGUGGGAAUUCAGUGAACCUUAGGAAAAAGAGAGAAAAGACUGGGCUUUUUUACUUCUGGCUCCCUGCCUUGUAUAUGGAAAUAAAAGUUGAGCUGCAGCAACUAUCUUGGACAAUAAAAAUUGUCCAAGAAAAAAACAUAUGGUGGAGCUAAGUGAUCGAAGGAGCUUUUGUCUCUGUUGACAUUGUGUUGCUAUUAUCUAGGUCUAGAAUACUUACCUUUAUACUUGGAUCAUCAGAGAGAGAAAUCAACUACUACUUAUUUUCGCCACUGUUAUUUCUGGUGUCUGUUACUAGCAAUAGAAGAGAAUUCCUCACAUAAGCCAAGUCCUCAAGAGUUUAGACUCUCUCUCUCCUAUAUAACCAACCCCCAUAGCCAAUUAAUCUCUAAGUCUUGUCAGUUUAAUUUCUUAAAUUGAUUUCAAGUUUUAUCUUUUCUCUCCACCCCCAUUUUCAUUACUUUAGUUCAAACACUCAUCACCUGUCACCAUACCAUUACAGUGGAUCUAAUUCUGCUCCCAUCUUGCUUCCCUAGGAUACGUCAUCCACAUUGCUGCCAGAGCAUUCUCUCUGAAAUGAUUAUCUGAUCAUCAUCCUCUCUUCUUCUCCACAAGCUCAAACACUUUCAGUGACUGAUUUGAAACCAGAGGGUGUCUCACUGUGUCACCCAGGCUGGAGUACAGUGACAUGAUUUCAGCUAACUGCAACCUCCGCCUCCCUGCCUCAGCCUGCAGAGUAGCUGGGAUUACAGGCGCCCACCAAUACGCCCAGCUAAUUGUUGUAUUUUUAGUAGAGAAGGG
rnacentral:lncRNA from 1 species